UUAUCUAUUUUUCUUUUUCCUACCCUCUCUUUUUCUAAAUUGAUUAGGGGCAUUCUAUUCUUUUAGAUUUGACGAAUGUAUAGGAAGGGGUGGACCUUUUUGAUAUCAUACACAAGUCUUGUGAUAGAUAUGAUAUACGGGCAAAUGCGCAUCGGAAUACCCAGUUGAAUAAUUCACAAUCCAUAUCAUUACUCAUACUGAUACGAACAAAGUAUUCUUUUUAAAGAUUUGAAGAUCAAGAGAUUCCCUCGUCUUUUAAUACUUGGCCCUUUCUUUUUUUUUAAUUGACAUAGACGCAAGUCCUCUCGUAAAAUGAGUAUGAUGCAUCGUUAAUGGUCAGGA
rnacentral:misc_RNA from 1 species